AACGAACGCUGGCGGCAGGCCUAACACAUGCCAGUCGAGCGAGGACUUCGGUGCUUGCGGCGGACGGGUGGGUAACGCGUGGUAAUGUGCCCUUCUCUACGGAAUAGCCCUGGGAAACUGGGAGUAAUACCGUAUACGCUCUUUUCGGGUAGGAUUUAUCGGAGAAGGAUGUGGCCGCGUUUGAUUAGGGAGUUGGUGGGGUACUGGCCUGCCCAGCCGACGAUGCAUAGCUGGUUGGAGAGGAUGACCAGCCACGAUGGGGCUGAGACACGGACCAGACCGCUAGGCGAGGGAGGAGUGGGGAAUACUAGACGAGGGGGGCAGCUCUGAUCUAGCCAUGCGGGGUGUGUGAGGAAGGCCUUAGGGUAGUAAAGCCAUUUCAGAUGGGAAGAUAAUGACGGUACAAGCAGAAGAAGCCCCGGCUAACUACGUG
rnacentral:rRNA from 1 species